rfam:Plicaturopsis crispa FD-325 SS-3 unplaced genomic scaffold PLICRscaffold_5, whole genome shotgun sequence.
GCCACCUUGGCGUAGUGGUAGCGCGUCGCUCUUGUACUUUGCGUGCUAAGCGAAGGUCAUUCGUUCGAUCCGGGUAGGUGGCA